ACAGUCCUCAGCACUGAUGAUCUGGGUAACAUUCUUGUCUACCCGUAUUUCCUGGUUAAACUCAAAGCCAAACCACCUUUUUUUUGGGUGCUCGUCAGGAUGAGUGAUGGGACUAUUAACAGAAGACUCUUCGCCCACUGUUUUUGCUCUUGAGAGGCAACUGAGAGCUCAAGAGUGCCUGCCCCGUGAAUCGAGUGAAUCAUUUCCAGUUUCGGGCCAUUCUUCUGCAAUUUCAGCUGGGGCCGAAGACUUCCCAGAGGGUGGUAAAAGAAUAGGGUUGUCUUCACAUGGGAGCUGGAUGUCAAAAUUGUCUUCAGAAGAGGUAGUGGACAUUAUUUCCACAAGGAAAUUCUCAGUAUUACUCCAGAUGAUCAUACAGGAUAUUUGGUAUGACCAAGUUAGAAUUUCUAAAUGUUGUUUUAUCUGUCUCUUUGUUGCAAACUACCAGCACAGAAGAAAACGAGAAACCUAACAAAUUCCCACCAUCAUGUGUGAUGUAGUGUAACAAAUAUUGGUUCGUGAUCAUUUUCCAGGCAGUAUUAUGCUAUGGAAAGUUGGUUGCUCUUUGCCAGAAAUGUCCUGUUUUACGGAAAUUCAAAAUAUUUGAUGACAGAGCCUAGAUUUGAACCAGCAAUCUCUAUAUUGUGAAUGCGUGAGUCCCCACUGACUGGAGGGUUUUGCAGCAUAAAAUCCAGUUAGAAUGUGUUAUCAGGAGCCAGGGUUCUUGCAAUAGGCAUGGUGCUUAAAAAUGCAUAGUGCUUAAAAAUCACCAACUAUGGCAGAAAAACAAGGAAAAAUGACCACAGCAAGAAUCUCAAAGUAUAGAAUGGACAGAAGUGGAAAACAGAUAACAAAAAGAGAAAUCCCUUCAGACAGGCUGUCCCGAACAUGCUUAAUCUAACACUGCGUUGUGAGGGUGGCUGUCCAGUCCUCUGCUGCAGGGGGCAGAGCGGUGGUUCUGUGGCUAAGGAUCUGGGCCUGUGGCUGGAAGGUUGCUGGUCCAAAUCUUACAGCAGGCAGAGGAAUCCUACUUCGUUGGGCCCCUGAGCAAGGCCCUUAACCCCAACUGCUCCAGGGGCACUGUACAAUGGCUGACCCUGUGCUCCCCAGGCCUCUCUCCCUAUCUAUGUGUCUCACAGAGAGCAAGCUGGGGUAUGUGAAAAGAUGAAUUCCUAAUGCAAGAAAUUAUAUAGGACUGUUAUGAUGUUAUGUUAUGUUAGAUGUGUGAGGAAAAUAGUCAAUGAGAAACAUCGUUGUCAGCAUUUUUGUAAUGAAAUAAAGCCUGACAAAGACACCGC
rnacentral:lncRNA from 1 species